GCCGAGGUGGCGGAACUGGUAGACGCAGUGGACUCAAAAUCCACCGGUGGCAACACCUUGCGGGUUCGAGUCCCGCCCUCGGUACCA
rnacentral:tRNA from 1 species